GAGGCAGUAACUCAAUUGGAAGAUGCCCUGGCUCAUAACCUGGGCGGCUACAGGUUCGAGCCCUGUCUGCCUCU
rnacentral:tRNA from 2 species